rnacentral:rRNA from 1 species
UACGUAGGGUGCAAGCGUUAAUCGGAAUUACUGGGCGUAAAGCGUGCGCAGGCGGUUUUGUAAGUCUGUCGUGAAAUCCCCGGGCUCAACCUGGGAAUUGCGAUGGAGACUGCAAGGCUAGAAUCUGGCAGAGGGGGGUAGAAUUCCACGUGUAGCAGUGAAAUGCAUAGAGAUGUGGAGGAACACCGAUGGCGAAGGCAGCCCCCUGGGUCAAGAUUGACGCUCAUGCACGAAAGCGUGGGGAGCAAACAGG